rnacentral:SRP_RNA from 1 species
GCUGGGUGUGGUGGCACACACCUGUAAUUCCAGCUACUUGGGAGGCUGAGGCAAGAGAAUCGCUUGAACCCAGGAGCUGGAGGUUGCAGUGAGCUAAGAUUGCACCACUGCACUCCAGCCUGGGUGACAGAGUGAGACCCUGUCUCCC